rnacentral:rRNA from 1 species
CAGCCGCCUCGGUAAUACGUAGGUCCCGAGCGUUGUCCGGAUUUAUUGGGCGUAGAGGGAGCGCAGGCGGUUUAGUAAGUCUGAAGUUAAAGGCAUUGGCUCAACCAAUGUAUGCUUUGGAAACUGUUAGACUUGAGUGCAGAAGGGGAGAGUGGAAUUCCAUGUGUAGCGGUGAAAUGCGUAGAUAUAUGGAGGAACACCGGUGGCGAAAGCGGCUCUCUGGUCUGCCACUGACGCUGAGGCUCGAAAGCGUGGGUAGCGAACAGGAUUAGAUACCCGGGUAGUCCCUGUCUCUUAUACA